rnacentral:misc_RNA from 1 species
UAUCCGUAGGUGAACCUGCGGAAGGAUCAUUAAUGAGAACUAAGGGUAGUAGUCUCGGCUAUUACUCUGAACACUCCACCCUUUGUUUAUAUUACCUUUGUUGCUUUAGCAGUCCCGCUCUCGAGCCGCCGGCACCUGCUGGCUAGUGCCGGCUAAAGAACCUAAAACUCGUGUUAAUAAUACGGUCUGAGUACUAUAUAAUAGUUAAAACUUUCAACAACGGAUCUCUUGGUUCUG